GCACAGAGAAGCUUGCUUCUUGGGUGGCGAGUGGCGAACGGGUGAGUAACAUAUCGGAACGUACCGAGUAAUGGGGGAUAACUAAUCGAAAGAUUAGCUAAUACCGCAUAUUCUCUGAGGAGGAAAAGCAGGGGACCUUCGGGCCUUGCGUUAUUCGAGCGGCCGAUAUCUGAUUAGCUAGUUGGUGGGGUAAAGGCCUACCAAGGCGACGAUCAGUAGCGGGUCUGAGAGGAUGAUCCGCCACACUGGGACUGAGACACGGCCCAGACUCCUACGGGAGGCAGCAGUGGGGAAUUUUGGACAAUGGGCGCAAGCCUGAUCCAGCCAUGCCGCGUGUCUGAAGAAGGCCUUCGGGUUGUAAAGGACUUUUGUCAGGGAAGAAAAGGCUGUUGCUAAUAUCGACAGCUGAUGACGGUACCUGAAGAAUAAGCACCGGCUAACUACGUG
rnacentral:rRNA from 1 species